CUACGGGGGGCUCCAGUGAGGAAUUUUGCGCAAUGGGGGAAACCCUGACGCAGCAACGCCGCGUGAGUGAAGAAGGCCUUUGGGUCGUAAAGCUCUGUCAACUGGGAAGAAGUUACAAUGUUUUAAUAAAAUGUUGUAUUGACGGUACCAGUGGAGGAAGCGCCGGCUAACUCCGUGCCAGCAGCCGCGGUAAUACGGGGGGCGCAAGCGUUAUUCGGAAUUAUUGGGCGUAAAGGGCGCGCAGGCGGUCUUGUCCGUCAGGUGUGAAAGCUCGGGGCUCAACCCCGGAAGUGCACUUGAAACAGCAAGACUCGAAUACGGGAGAGGAGAGAGGAAUUCCUGGUGUAGAGGUGAAAUUCGUAGAUAUCAGGAGGAACACCGAUGGCGAAGGCAUCUCUCUGGACCGAUAUUGACGCUGAGGCGCGAAGGCGUGGGUAGCGAACGGGAUUAGAUACCCUGGUAGUC
rnacentral:rRNA from 1 species